rnacentral:rRNA from 1 species
CGACUCUCGGCAACGGAUAUCUCGGCUCUCGCAUCGAUGAGGAACGUAGCGAAUGCGAUACUUGGUGUGAAUUGCAGAAUCCCGUGAACCAUCGAGUCUUUGAACGCAAGUUGCGCCCCAAGCCUUCUGGCCGAGGGCACGUCUGCCUGGGUGUCACAA